CCUACGGGAGGCAGCAGUGGGGAAUAUUGCACAAUGGGGGAAACCCUGAUGCAGCGACGCCGCGUGAAGGAAGAAGUAUCUCGGUAUGUAAACUUCUAUCAGCAGGGAAGAUAGUGACGGUACCUGACUAAGAAGCCCCGGCUAACUACGUGCCAGCAGCCGCGGUAAUACGUAGGGGGCAAGCGUUAUCCGGAUUUACUGGGUGUAAAGGGAGCGUAGACGGUGUGGCAAGUCUGAUGUGAAAGGCAUGGGCUCAACCUGUGGACUGCAUUGGAAACUGUCAUACUUGAGUGCCGGAGGGGUAAGCGGAAUUCCUAGUGUAGCGGUGAAAUGCGUAGAUAUUAGGAGGAACACCAGUGGCGAAGGCGGCUUACUGGACGGUAACUGACGUUGAGGCUCGAAAGCGUGGGGAGCAAACAGGAUUAGAUACCCCAGUAGUCC
rnacentral:rRNA from 1 species